rnacentral:rRNA from 1 species
AGCGAACGCUGGCGGCAGGCUUAACACAUGCAAGUCGAACGCACUCUUCGGAGUGAGUGGCAGACGGGUGAGUAACACGUGGGAACGUGCCCUUCGAUUCGGAAUAACUCAGGGAAACUUGAGCUAAUACCGGAUACGCCCUUCGGGGGAAAGAUUUAUCGUCGAAGGAUCGGCCCGCGUCUGAUUAGCUAGUUGGUGGGGUAAUGGCCUACCAAGGCGACGAUCAGUAGCUGGUCUGAGAGGAUGAUCAGCCACACUGGGACUGAGACACGGCCCAGACUCCUACGGGAGGCAGCAGUGGGGAAUAUUGGACAAUGGGCGAAAGCCUGAUCCAGCCAUGCCGCGUGAGUGAUGAAGGCCUUAGGGUUGUAAAGCUCUUUUAUCCGGGAAGAUAAUGACUGUACCGGAAGAAUAAGCCCCGGCUAACUUCGUGCCAGCCGCCGCUGUAACAC